rnacentral:misc_RNA from 1 species
UCCGACUUGACGUCGGCAGUCUCGUUAGAGUUCCCAUCCGAAAUGUUGGCAACUAACGAUAAGGGUUGCGCUCGUUGCGGGACUUAACCCAACACCUCACGGCACGAGCUGACGACAGCCAUGCAGCACCUGUGCAAAGGUCCCGAAGGACGGCACCAUCUCUGGUGCUUGCCUUUGCAUGUCAAGCCUGGGUAAGGUUCUUCGCGUUGCAUCGAAUUAAACCACAUGCUCCACUGCUUGUGCGGGUCCCCGUCAAUUCUUUUGAGUUUCAGCCUUGCGGCCGUACUCCCCAGGCGGGGCACUUAAUGCGUUAGCGCCGGCACCCAGGGGGUCGCUCCCCCAGGCACCUAGUGCCCAUCGUUUACGGCGUGGACUAC